ensembl:lncRNA
ACUGCCUCCUCUUUGUUUUUAAGAGCUUCUGCCAACUUUGAUAUUUCAAUUUGUUGCUCCUUUGUUUGAGCCCUCUCAUUUUCCAGUUGGCUCUCCAAUUCCAACUUCUCUUUAGUGUCAGCCGCAGCAAUGCACGUCCCUUCAGUCUGGGGCUUCAACUCUUUAGCUUCUGCGUCAUUUUGAAGGGCCUGUUUUUCUCCCUUCAUCCGCUCAGCUUGGAGUUCGUCCUGUGCUGCUUUCAGGGCCGCUGCAAUGCCGAUUUUCUCCGCUGUCCAAUUGUUCAUCUGGGUGUUAUGGAAGGCUUGGAAUCGUUCCCUCAUUUGGUUAUCUGGACCCUGCUGGUUUUUAAGAGCUUCUGCCAACUUUGUCAAUUCAAUGUGUUGCUUCUUUGUUUUAGCCCUCUCAAUUUCCAGUUGGCUCUUCAAUUUCCAGUUCUCUUUACGGUCAGCCGCAGCAAUCCACUUCCCUUCAGCCUGGGGCUUCAACUCUUUAGCUUCUGCGUCAUUUUGAAGGGCCGGUUUUUCUCCCUUCAUCCGCUCAGCUUGGAGUUCGUCCUGUGCUGCUUUCAGGGCCGCCGCAAUGCCGUUGUUCUCCAAUUUCCAAUUGUACAUCUGGGUGUUAUGGAAGGCUUGGAAUCGUUCCCUCAUUUGGAUUGCUGACCCCUCCUGGUUUUUAAGAGCUUCUGCCAACUUUGUCAAUUCAAUGCGAAGCUUCUCUGUUUGAGCCCUCUCAAUUUCCAGUUGACUUUCCAAUUCAAUCUCUGUGUUAGUUUUAGCCAGCUUCAUUUCAGCACUGACCUUCAACAUCCAUUCCAGUUGACCCUUCAAUUCCAAGUUCUCCUUAGAGAUAGUCUCUUCAAAAUUAGGCAGAAGCUGUUUUUCUCCCUUCAUUUUCAAGUCUACACACUGGAUCUUGGUCUUGGGUGUCUGUCCCUCGACAUCACCCUGGGUCUUUUGCAGCUUGGGCCGGCUGGCUUUUAGCUGCGUUUUUUGGCAUAUCUCCUUUUGCACUUCUCCAGUCUUUUUUUCAGGGAGAAGAUCAAGGAACUGUUGCAAUCUGUCCUCGUCAAUCUGAAGGAGAACUCUCCCCUCACAUUGAGUUUGGGUGAGCAUUGCAUUGCUGUCCAGCUCAGCUCUUACUUGUUCCUCCAGCGAACGGAGAUAGAAAUUCACAGGAGGAUCAACCUCCUUGGAAUUUAAAUCCCUUUUCUCCACCAUUAUCUGUUUUUUCUGGACGUUGGACAUACUUUUCUUUUAUCUGUUGCUUUCUGCUCAGUACACCUUCAAUUCAAACUGUCAGAGUGGUCUUCAAACCGGACUGAUGUCUGCUAAGCUUGAGUGAGUGAGUGAGUGAGUGAGUGAGUGAGUGGAAGCAGUGGAACCCUUGUAAUGACACGUUCCAUGAUGUCAUCGUUCCUUUUGAUCUUUCUGUUGCUAUGGG